AGGACGAACGCUGGCGGCGUGCUUAACACAUGCAAGUCGAGCGGAAAGGCCCUUCGGGGUACUCGAGCGGCGAACGGGUGAGUAACACGUGAGUAAUCUGCCCCUAGCUCUGGGAUAGCUCCGGGAAACCGGGAUUAAUACCAGAUACGACCACUUUAGACAUCUUCUGUGGUGGAAAGAACUUCGGCUAGGGAUGAACUCGCGGCCUAUCAGCUUGUUGGUGAGGUAACGGCUCACCAAGGCGACGACGGGUAGCCGGCCUGAGAGGGCGACCGGCCACACUGGGACUGAGACACGGCCCAGACUCCUACGGGAGGCAGCAGUGGGGAAUAUUGCGCAAUGGGCGAAAAGCCUGACGCAGCGACGCCGCGUGGGGGAUGAAGGCCUUCGGUGUAAACCCUUCUAGCAGGACGAAGCGAAGUGACGGUACCUGCAGAAGAAGACGCCGGCUAACUACGUGCCAGCAGCCGC
rnacentral:rRNA from 1 species